GAUGGGUUUCUAAUGGUCCUGCUACAUCUUCUUUCUGAUUUAGACCCAUAGCUGAUUUAGAAAGAUGAUCAGGUUUUUGAACAAACUGAUGGCAUAUUUAUCCUUCCUUUGCCUUUCAAAAUGCACGUGCCGUCAACAGACCUGUAUGGCAUUUUAAGUCAGAGGAUUGGGAGUAGCUGUCUCCAUGUUGAAUGUUUCAAACCCAUAUAUAUCCCAUGGCCACAUACUUAUUCAAUACCUGUAUUUUUCUGCCUCCUUCUACUGUGGUGUCAGACUGCCCUCAUUUCUCCCAGGGUAGCAACAAUUUGUCCAAGUUACCAGUGCUGUGCCCACAACUCAUGUUAGGUGCACCCAUGCAAGGUAGUUUGGGCACCCAAGCUAACCAUUCCCUUCCCCACAUAGUUAUUUUUCACCCUGUUUAGAGCUCUGCUUCUACAUUUACUGGACACCAAUAUCCAGACUUGCUCAGUAAGUCCAGACAGAUAAACACUACUGGGCUCCUGUUGUGAUCCUGGUAUUUUCUGGAGCACCGUGAGGGACUCUGUCCCUGUCAAGCUCUCUGCUCCUUACAGAAAGCAAGUGAACCAGUGAGUUUAGCACCUCAGUGGGAGCACAUAGAAAGCUUUCCCACUUGCCUUAUAUCCAGAAUGGAAUGGUACAUUAGCUGGAAUGUCUUGUCUUCUGGCAGUCUGGAUUACAGCUCUAAACCCUCUCUCUUGCUUUUUGCUUUUUUGUUAUCUUUGGCAUGUAAAGUGAUCCCAGAGCAGGAGGGGUUAUGCUUGCAGCUCUGCCUUCAGUAGAAUUCAAACUUACUCAAGCUUUAAAUAGGAGCUCCAGCCUCUCUAAUGAGAUUACCCAGCACACAGGGAGGGCUGAGCAAUGAAACAAUGUGCUCUAACCAAAAGAGAGUCCAUCUGAAACACAUCCUGCAACCUGAAAUACAAGACUAUUCACAAAUCAGGCCCUAAUGCAUGUGCAAAACGGAGGGAAGAGGGAAGCAGGGAAAGUGCACUUGCAUGCCAUGGUCCCCAUAUACCCAACAAUGCUACUGGAGGCAGAAAAUGAGGAAAUUUGCCCUAUAAAGAAUAUGAAACACCUCUAAUGAGAAGGAGUGAUCCCUUCCAUAAGUCUCAGACUAAGACAAAUGAGGCUGAGGACUGAAGUGUUGAGUAAAAACUGAAUCUCUUCCUAGUAGGGAGAUGGACCUUUGGGCCUGGCUCUCCUGGGACAGGCAUAGCAGAAGGCAACACCCAUGGAGCCCAAGGGUCUGUGGCUCUCCUUCUCGGGGAGCAGGAACCAGUGUGGGAGAGCCUGCCCUGCUGGAGCUGUGGCUUCAGCGUGUGCUCCUGGUGAAACAGCUGUGACACCUCCAGCAGGGACUCUGUAACAGAUGCCUGAACAGAAGACCUGCUGAUGCUGCUGCAAAACAGUGAACUGAGCUUUCAGGCAUCAAGACAGGGAUACUGUUAAAGUGAGCUACUCUUGGAGAAAAAAGAAAAAAUCACUCAGAAAAGUUAUAUGAAUGUAUUACUGACACGGAACAAGACAAGCAGAGCACAACCACUACUGGUCUGUUGGGAAGAGUUACACCCUGGUUUUCUUCUUCCUUCUCUGUAGAUAUCUUCAUUGCUGCUUACAGGCUGGAAAUGACUCUGAUGCAACGUGGCAUUUCCUGGGAUGACAGCGUGCUGGGUUAAAUGAGACCAGCUACUGCAGCUUCCCUACUCCCUGGGCACUGAGUGCACAACAGAUGAGCAAAACCCACUUCAGGCCAGGCUGGGAAGGUUUUUUAUGCAUCUCCAUACCUCCUCUCAACUCACUUCACGUCAUUGGUCUGACAGCAAAGGAGCAGGUAUUGCCUCAACAACCAAAUGUUGGACACACUGCCUCUAUCAAUCCUGGCUAGUCCAGCCUUGUUUUACUGAUUCAUACAGGCAUUUGCAUCAGUGAGUCUGGCAUGGUGAAUUUAUACAUGAGCAACCAGGAAUUUCUGACCAACACCCAUGGUGUUUAACUGGACUCGUUAUUUUUAAAUUAAUGAGAAACUACUUAUUAAAGUGACGGAGGCAAGUCAGAACUACAGCUUGGUUGUAGUCAAAACACGCUCUGAUUUUCCCUGAACUUCUUCACAGAAUCACCCAAGACUGCUGUUGUCAAAUAAAGGACUGUUUCAUUCUUUA